rnacentral:rRNA from 1 species
CCGGCACGGGUGGAGUAACGCGUAUGCAACCUACCUAUCAGAGGGGAAUAACCGGACGAAAGUCGGACUAAUACCGCAUAAAACAGGGGUUCCGCAUGGAAAUAAUUUGUUAAAGAAUUAUCGCUGAUAGAUGGGCAUGCGUUCCAUUAGAUAGUUGGUGAGGUAACGGCUCACCAAGUCCACGAUGGAUAGGGGUUCUGAGAGGAAGGUCCCCCACACUGGUACUGAGACACGGACCAG